rnacentral:rRNA from 1 species
UACAGAGGGUGCGAGCGUUGUUCGGAAUUAUUGGGCGUAAAGGGCGCGUAGGCGGCGCGGUAAGUCACCUGUGAAAUCUCCUGGCUCAACUGGGAGCUUGCAGGCGAAACUGCCGUGCUGGAGUGUGGGAGAGGUGCGUGGAAUUCCUGGUGUAGCGGUGAAAUGCGUAGAGAUCGGAAAGAACACCAACGGCGAAAGCACUCUGCUGGGCCGACACUGACACUGAGAGACGAAAGCUAGGGGAGCGAAUGGG